UUUGCCUUAUUAGCAGUUAGUUACGGACUGUUGAAUUAGUUAGAAGCGGUUAGCAAGAUAAGAUUCUUUCUCAUUAGUCAUUUCUAUAUAAGGCAUUGUAUCAUUACAGAUUGAAUCAUGAAUUGAAUAUACAAGCAAACUUUCUAUUGAAUUCUAUUCUCCAUUUUCUAUCUUUUCAUCCACCAUAGCUGAAUAACUCGAGUUUCUCCGCUAAGCUCCUGUCCAGCUCCUAGAACCCCAGAUUCAUCUGAGAAUCCCUGCAUUCUGGCUAACAUUGGUAUCAAAGCCAAUCUAUCCUUGGCAGAAAUGACAAAAUCAGCAAGAGCAUAUGGAAGUUCUUCUCGUGAAGUAAGGGAAUUGCGUGAACUGAUGCAAAAAAUGUUAAUGGAGAUUGGUACUCUAGCAAAGAAAGUUUCAAAUCUUGAAAAAUUGGAUCAGGUGAUACUAGAUAUUAAGGAACAAAUGGCAAGAAAUGGAGCGAAUCAAAUGGAUAAAAUACCCACAGGAGGAGACAAAGUACCAGUGGGUGGAAGGCAGUCAGAGGAGCAAUCACACAGUAACUUCAUUAAUCAUAAUUCACAUUACCCUCGAGGGUCGAUAUUGGAGUUUUUGUAGUUUUCCGGAGAAGAUAUCAGAUCUUGGUUGUUUAGAAUUGAUCAAUUCUUCAAUAUGGUGAACAUUCCCAAGGAGGAGAAGAUUAGCAUUAUUGCUCUACAGUUAGAAGGUGAAGCUGUUUGGUGGAACUUGUCCUUUAUGAAAUGCAGGCAGUACAUUCAACCACCUUCUUGGAAUGAAUAUGUGGUAGUGUUAGUAGAAAGAUUCGGGGGGAAUUCCCCAAAGAAGCUGGUUAGUUUUGAAUUCUCUAAUCUUUCUCAUGUCCACUAAAAAGAAACUACAAUGAAGAAGACACCAUAUACUUGGAAGGUUCUCGAUGAAAUGCCUAAAAGAGAUUUAGAUGUACUUUCUCUGUCUAGUGGCACCAUUGAAAGAAACAAUAAAACUGAAGCUUUUGAAGACUUAUUUUGUGAUGCGUUCUUUAUAGAUAAUGAGAGAAAUGUCGAGGCUUUUGAAAAUAUGAAUCUUGGUUGGCUUUUUUUGAAUGAUGAGAGUGAUCUGGAUACAAAAUAUUUAGAUAGUGAUGGAAAAUAACUGCUCUCAUGGAAAGCUCGUUUUGAUUUAAUUGUUUCCAAGAUCAUGACUUCUUGCGAUUUAUGGUUCGACUUUGGGAGUGAUACGAAAACUUGGAGUAAAAUCUGGCCAUGGAAAGAGAUUGUGAAAUCACUUGUCCUAAUAACAGAGGAAGGCACACAAGUGUGGGUUUAGAACACGAAAGUAAUACAAUUGAGGAUGAGAAUAUUUGAGCAUGAGGUAUACUUUCUGGACUGUUGCAUUGCUGCAUAAUUAGAAGCCUCAAUUAUGGAGAUUCUGGUCCAUAUUCCACCCUUGAGGAUCUCAAGGAGAAUGGAGGAAAUCAGUUGUUUAUGUUAUUCCACUCUGCUAGCCCUUUAUUCAGAAAUACGAGUCCAACAAUUAAAAGGAUUGCAUUUUCUGCGCAGAAUGGACAACUUUGUGCAGCCAUCAAUAGCUCGAGACAGACAAAUGAAUAUUGGGAAAAUGGAUUUAACCUGGGUGGAGCAGGUGGAAAAAUGCCUGAGCGGCGGAUCUUCACUCUUCUGAACAACAUGGUGGAAUCAAUUGUUGAUGGUUAGGCAAAGCAGAGAACUCAUUGUCGAAGAAAAAAUCAGCAGAUCAUGCUACUUAGGAAUUCUUUAAUGCAUUGACGACACUGUUUCCUCAUUUAGAUCCUUGAGUUCAAGGAUCUCUUUGCUCUGGGAGUACUGUUACACAAAAAGAAUUAGCUGGUCAAGUUAGUUAACUUGCCUUAUCAGCAGUUAGUUACGGGCUGUUGAAUUAGUUAGAAGCAGUUAGCAAGCUAAGAUUCUUUCUCAUUAGUCAUUUCUAUAUAAGACAUUGUAUCAUUACAGAUUGGAUCAUCAAUUGAAUAUACAAGUAAACUUCGUAUUAAAUUCUACUCUUCAUCUUCUAUCUUUUCAUCCACCAUAGUUGAAUAACUCGAGCUUCUCCGCUAAGCUCCUAUCCAGCUCCUAGAACCUUGGAGUCCUCUAACAAUCCCUGCAUUCUGGCUAACAUUGGAUAAAAGUCCUAGCUCACAGUAUGCCACUGUAGAGUAGAUGUAUACCGACCUAGCACCAGUAGAUCCUGUUGAUUCAGUUGGUUCGAUGUCAUUUUCAAUCUGAAGGUUUGGUGAGCUCCCUGUGUUCGGAGCAAGAGCCUAACUUCAUCUAUCUUAUUUAUUUAUCUUUUGAUUAUCCAGAAAUUUUGUAGUGUUGAACAAUUGUAUUUGUUUUAGAUGCUCUUAUAUUGGUGACACUAAAUUUUGAACACUUUUUGGUUAACUUUUGCACAUAAUAUUUAUAUUUAUGAA